CCCUAGCCCCGAUAGAGGCGUUAUCCUUUUUAAAUAUGGGUUGUAAAACAACAUUGUUUUUGGCAGGAUUAUAAAAUAAAAAUCGAUACUUCUGGUUAGAAAUAUCGAUUUAAAAAGAUUAAGCCGAAAGCGGGAAAUAGC
rnacentral:sRNA from 1 species